rnacentral:rRNA from 1 species
CAGCAGCCACGGUAAUACGAAGGGGGCUAGCGUUGUUCGGAAUCACUGGGCGUAAAGGGUGCGUAGGCGGAUUCUUAAGUCAGGGGUGAAAUCCCGAGGCUCAACCUCGGAACUGCCUUUGAUACUGGGGAUCUUGAGUCCGGAAGAGGUGAGUGGAACUGCGAGUGUAGAGGUGAAAUUCGUAGAUAUUCGCAAGAACACCAGUGGCGAAGGCGGCUCACUGGUCCGGAACUGACGCUGAGGCACGACAGCGUGGGGAGCAAACAGGAUUAGAUACCCCCGUAGUCCCUGUCUCUUAUAC